rnacentral:rRNA from 1 species
GACGUAGAGCGCAAGCGUUGUCCGGAUUUAUUGGGCGUAAAGAGCUCGUAGGCGGCUGGUCACGUCGACUGUGAAAACCCGCGGCUCAACCGUGUGGUCUGCAGUCGAUACGGGCUGGCUGGAGUUCGGUAGGGGAGACUGGAAUUCCCGGUGUAGCGGUGAAAUGCGCAGAUAUCGGGAGGAACACCUAUGGCGAAGGCAGCUCGCUGGGACGUUACUGACGCUGAGACGCGAAAGCGUGGGGAGCAAACAGG